AAAAGAAAGAAAUACUUGUGUGUGUGUGUGUGUGUGUGCUUGAAAAGAUCACCCGGAACCCGGAAAUCAGACACGACCGGGAAGUCAUCCGGACCCUGUGGAUGCUGAUCAUUCAUUGAACGGGUCGCUCCAACUGUUCAACGACGAUCAGUCAGAGGUCGAAGGAGUAGGGCACCCGCUCGUUGAUUCUUUAACUCACCAGACGCCUCAGCUGAUAGGAGAUACAAAGACAACGAGCACGCCACACCUUCUACCUGUCGCUUCAACACCAACACCAACACCAACGUUUGCUCUCCCCUCUGGGUCGUGGCCUUUGUGGGAGACAUCGACGCCGGUUUCCUCAGUACCUCUGGAUCUACUAUCCGGACCGUUCCCUGCUGAAGACUCGACGUCGGCAUCUGGGCUAUCCGCACCUCCACAGCCACCGUCGCCGACACCAUCAGCACAGCCAGCAACC